rnacentral:rRNA from 1 species
UACGUAGGAUGCAAGCGUUGUCCGGAAUUAUUGGGCGUAAAGGGCGCGCAGGCGGUUUGUCAAGUCAGAUGUGAAAGCCCCCGGCUUAACCGGGGAGGGUCAUUUGAAACUGACAGACUUGAGUGCAGCAGAGGAAGGUAGAAUUCUGGGUGUAGUGGUGAAAUGCGUAGAUAUCCAGAGGAAUACCAGUGGCGAAGGCGGCCUUCUGGGCUGUAACUGACGCUGAGGCGCGAAGGCCAGGGGAGCAAACAGG